UUAUGAUGUAAAUGUUUAAACUUGAGUAGUAAUAGUUAUGAUCUAUAAACUUAAGGGAUUUGGCGGUAUUAUAAUCUUUUUAGAGGAAUCUGUCCCGUUAUUGAUAGCCCACGUUGAACCUUACUUGGAUAAGGUAUGUAUAUCGCCGUAAUAUUAGAAAUAUUUGAAGAUAAGGAAUUUUUGUAAUAUUUAAUUAUAUAAUAAUUCAGGUCAAGGUGCAGCUUAAUAUUUAAGUGGUGAUGGAUUACAAUAUUAUGUAGAUAGAUGAAUUAUUAAGUGAAAUAGAAAUAUGAAGGUGGAUUUAAUAGUAAAGUUGUGAAGAUUAUUAAUUUGAUUGUGGCUCUGGAAU
rnacentral:rRNA from 1 species